GAUGAACGCUGGCGGCGUGCUUAACACAUGCAAGUCGAACGAUGAAGCCCAGCUUGCUGGGUGGAUUAGUGGCGAACGGGUGAGUAACACGUGAGUAACCUGCCCUUAACUCUGGGAUAAGCCUGGGAAACUGGGUCUAAUACCGGAUAGGAGCGUCCACCGCAUGGUGGGUGUUGGAAAGAUUUAUCGGUUUUGGAUGGACUCGCGGCCUAUCAGCUUGUUGGUGAGGUAAUGGCUCACCAAGGCGACGACGGGUAGCCGGCCUGAGAGGGUGACCGGCCACACUGGGACUGAGACACGGCCCAGACUCCUACGGGAGGCAGCAGUGGGGAAUAUUGCACAAUGGGCGCAAGCCUGAUGCAGCGACGCCGCGUGAGGGAUGACGGCCUCGGUUGUAA
rnacentral:rRNA from 1 species